rnacentral:rRNA from 1 species
UACGGAGGGUGCAAGCGUUGCUCGGAAUUAUUGGGCGUAAAGGGUAGGUAGGUGGUCUCGUUUGUCUGGGGUGAAAGCCUUGAGCUUAACUCAAGAAGUGCCCCAGAAACGGCGAGACUGGAGUCCUGGAGAGGGUCGUGGAAUUCCCGGUGUAGCGGUGAAAUGCGUAGAGAUCGGGAGGAACACCAGAGGCGAAGGCGGCGACCUGGACAGGUACUGACGCUGAGGCACGAAAGCGUGGGGAGCAAACAGG